rnacentral:lncRNA from 1 species
UUUAUCUUUAUGUUAUUUCUGUUAUACCCUUCUCAUUUAACCCCACUAUUUCUUUCAAGCUUCCCAGGAAAAUCCACGAUGCCAAGUAAAAGAGAGAUCAAUUGAGUGAUGGAUCAAAAAGUGCACUGAGAGAGAACGUGAACAAUCUUGUGGUCUUCCCUCGCGCAUUGUGCAUCUCAGUUGCACCAAAAAUUGCAAAUCUGGGUAAAAGAGGCGAUGGCCGAUGGGUCAAUAGGUAGAGAAAGAACGUGAACCAAAUACCGAUGCUUGCAGCGAUACGACCAGAUGUGUCGAGAUGGAGGCAGAGGAGAAGGAGUACGGCGAGGGUUUUGUGCAGAUUCGUGGGACGAUUUGGAGAAGUUGUUGAACUCCAAAUCUAUAUUUAUUUUUGCUCUAUGAUUUCUAAUUUUUGGUGUGUGAUUUCUGUAUUAGCAAGGAAGUUUGAAAAUUUUGGUUUCAGAUUGAUUUUCAGUGUUCGUUUUUUAAUUUUGAUGUUAACGAUUUUUAUUUAGCUUUUGUUUUCAUUUUGAUUUCUGGGUUAGCCUGGUACUUUGCCAUUUCAAGUUCUGGUUUACACUGAGAUAAAAUCUUUGGUUGCUGAAACCUUAGAACAUCAAAUGUCCAGUACGUGUGUAAGGUUGAAGGGA